AUUGAACGCUGGCGGCAGGCCUAACACAUGCAAGUCGAACGAGUGGCGGACGGGUGAGUAAUGUCUGGGAAACUGCCUGAUGGAGGGGGAUAACUACUGGAAACGGUAGCUAAUACCGCAUACCAUCGGAUGUGCCCAGCUGGGAUUAGCUCGUAGGUGGGGUAAAGGCUCACCUAGGCGACGAUCCCUAGCUGGUCUGAGAGGAUGACCAGCCAAACUGGAACGGAGACACGGGCCAGAUGCCUACGGGAGGAAGCAGUGUGGAAUAUUGCACAAUGGGCGCAAGCCUGAUGCAGCCAUGCGGAGUGUAUGAAGAAGGCCUGCGGGUUGUAAAGUACGUUCAGCGGGGAGGCGUGACCCGCAGAAGAAGCACCGGCUAACUCCGUGCCAGCAGCCGCGGUAAUAC
rnacentral:rRNA from 1 species